rnacentral:rRNA from 1 species
AGAACGAACGCUGGCGGCAUGCCUAAUACAUGCAAGUCGAACGAACACUUCGGUGUUAGUGGCGCACGGGUGCGUAACGCGUGGGAAUCUGCCCUUGGGUUCGGAAUAACAGUUGGAAACGACUGCUAAUACCGGAUGAUAUCGAAAGAUCAAAGAUUUAUCGCCCAGGGAUGAGCCCGCGUAGGAUUAGCUAGUUGGUGAGGUAAAGGCUCACCAAGGCGACGAUCCUUAGCUGGUCUGAGAGGAUGAUCAGCCACACUGGGACUGAGACACGGCCCAGACUCCUACGGGAGGCAGCAGUAGGGAAUAUUGGACAAUGGGCGCAAGCCUGAUCCAGCAAUGCCGCGUGAGUGAUGAAGGCCUUAGGGUUGUAAAGCUCUUUUACCCGAGAUUGAUAAUGACAGUAUCGGAAGAAUAAGCCCCGGACUAACUCCGCGCCAGCAGCCGC